rnacentral:lncRNA from 1 species
CUCUCCAAGCUGCUCCGAGGGGAAUGGGGAAUCGGCAGGAAAUGACCCGAACUGCCAGCCUGCGCCUUUGCAGCCGGCCCUCGCUUUGCUGAAGACGAGCAGCUCCCACCAAAGUCUUGCCUCCCCUUACCCCGAAAGCCCCGCUCAGGUUUGUAAAGAGGGGUGCGAGAUCUGAAAAGUAUUUGUCUUCUAGGGAGAGAGAUGUUGGUAAGGGGCCCAGAGAAAGACGGGUCCUUUUUAGCUCAUCAACGCGCCACGUCUUGCUUUGCAGCUCCAAAAUGAUGCCAGCGCUGCUGUCCGAAGGGUCAAUAUUAAUGCGUUAAGUGAAAUGGGAAAUAAAUGGACAGUGGCACAUUUCGUGGCAUCAUUUUUACAAGGGGAUGUCGAAAGUUUUAAGCUGCAUUUAAGAAUUAGCCACAUCUUGCCUGAAAGUUAAUAUUUUUUGAUAAACUCGUUAAUAAAGCCUAGAAGAGGUAAGUUAAAGUUAGUUACCACGUAGAUCCUCCAGUCUCUUGUAGAGACUUGCGCAGGUUACUAGGAUGAGGACGAGUUGUAUUUUUAAUUUUCUAGACUAAGUGCAAAGGCAUUGAGUUUUGAGGUGGCAGGGUUAAUGUUCAAGGGCAAAUGGAACCGCCAAGGAUCUCUUGAAAAGAAUUCACUUACUAUUAAUACUUAAGCCUGAAAUAAUUAUAAUUAAUUUACAGUGGGAAUUAUAUGCCCAUGUUUUAGACUUUUUUGUUAUAUUAGCUAUAUGAAAAGGGAUGUUCUUUAGUGAUUAAAAGAAAAAACCACCUGUUUAUUGUCAUUUGCAAUUUGAAAUAGCCGACAGCAGUAAGGCUAGCUACAAAAGCUAACAAGUCAACUUCAGUGUGGUUUGACAUUUACUGUCAAAGCUUUGAGCUCUAAGAAAAACAGAAUUUAAAAUAAUGUAUAUAAAUAAUAAAAUUUCAUUGUGACUCAAUGUCCCUGCCCCUGGAGAAGGGACAGAUGACACUCAGUGACUGGCUUGGAACCAUUCCCCCUGCAGAUGCAUUUGCGGAUACAGUGGGCCAGGGCUGCCUCUGAGUAUGUACAGCAAGUGCUUAUGGACUUACAGAAACAAAUGUUUUACUAUUUAGGAUUUUCUCAAUAGUUUACACUAAAAGUUUUGCAUGUAGAAAUGUGGGAUAAAUAUUUCUUUGAAAGGAAAAGUUUCGAAAGGAAACUUUAUACUUGUAUUUUUUUGUGUGUUCACAUUUCUAAGUUCAUCUGUCUUUCAAAAAACAGAUUUUCAUAAAUAUUAAAAUAUUGCAAGUAUUAUUUUUAAUUCUUUUGAGUGCCAUGUUUGCUGUAAGUAGUUUUUUCUUUUAAGUAAGAUUAAUAUAAUCCUGUCUAAGGAGUUUAAUAGAGAGAACAGGAUUUCCAAGCCUAUAAAUGCAGUCUAUAUAAAAUAGUGGGAUCAAAGUUUUUUGUUAAGAAACUUGAGAAUUUAUACAUUUUAAAUGAAGAUAGAAGCACGUUUUAAAAGUAGUUUUUCCACACCAUUUCCCUCCCCCCAAAAGAAUUCAGAAACUAUAUUCCAUAGUCUAAAAAUGGCAUAAUCAGAUGUAAAAAUUAUUACCAUAAUAUAUAGUUUUCUCAAGAUGGUGGAUACUUUUUAAUAUAUUAUGAAGAGUUAUAUUCUCAGCCCACUGUGUGUUUGAGGGAAUGGAAAAGACAAGAUGUUUCUAAACAUAUUUUACUACUGAAAUCCAUAAGACUAUUAAGCUGUGCAGGUAAUUGUGUUCUAAGUGGUAGAAGUAUUUUUCCAACUGCUUUUUAAACUUUGAAAAAUUUAUAUGUAUUUUAAUUAGCACUUUUCUUUUAAAGGUUCCAAAUAUUUAGCUAUAUCAGCUAUGUGAUAAAAAUUAUUGGAAUUUGUUCCCUACUACUUUCUGCAUAAACAAUUGAGAAAUAUUUUAUACUAAUCUUUUUAUAUACAGGGGAUAAAUUUGAACAUGUGUCUUGUUGGUGUAAUAAACAAUCCAAAUUCAUUUCUUUCUUGAAAACUUGGCAUCGAUCUUCAUCUUAUUUUUUAUGCACACAAUUUGGACAUGCCAGUUUGUAGGCAAGUUUUAAGACAGUGCAAGUUUUAUGUGGAAGAAUGUAUAUUAAGGAAUGAAUAGCUAAUAGCCAAAAUUAAAUCAGGAGGUGUGGCAUUCACUCCUUUGGAUGAUUAUUUUAAAGAUAGUUUUGCACUCAGGAAGGAUUUUCUUAUGCUCUGUAUUUAUGAAUAUCUAAAUUAUCCUGCCUUGCAACUUCAAAACUCAAUAACCAAAUACCAAAUUUAUGUAUUUUCAGUGUGACUAAGGCUAGGAAUAUGAGAAGCAGAUUGGUUUUAUAAAAGAAAGCAAGCAUUUACAAUUGUAUUUUAAAAUAUAAUCCUAAUUUCAGUUUCUGACAGAAAUCUUGUGGUCAGCUCAUCAGUUUUUCAGAUCAGUUUCUAAAUAGCAUAUAAAAACUACCUUUUCCACAUCAGAAGUUCAUAUUUAGGUUUCCUUAACUGCAAAAUCACUUUAAAAGAGAGUGUUUUAUGUGAAGGGCCAUUUCAUGUGUUGGUUCCAUCGAUUACAUAUGAAUGUAUAAAAAUCUUGUUUAAAGACCAGUAAAAGUGAGGAAAUUCCAAGUCAGGCUGGCUAAUUCCAUUCAUAAUUCAUCCCGAGUACCUGACUGAGGAAACUUGCAAACAGUUUAUAGCUAUACAUACAAAAUAAGUUGACGUGCUUUGUAAGCUGGAAGCAGAGUUAAGUUUGACCUCCCUGCUUGGAAGGUCUUAAAUUAAUAAAAUUAUGGAAUAUGGUUAAGCUUUUCAGUUUCCCAAGAAUUUUCCAAUAUCGAUGCUUUUUGGAUUUUUGCAUUUUGAAAAUGUAAGCAUGGAAGGACAACUUCUUUUGUGCUGAGAUGAAGUUAGCUUUUACCCAUCCAUUUCCUUCCCACUUAACACAUUUGUUCAGUAAUUCUUCGAGUGCUGGGGGACAGAGGCCCUGCCUUGAGAAAAGCAUAUGCCAUUUCUCUGCCCCCUUCAACCAUCCCCACCCCCAGCCCUCCCUUUAUUUCAAGCCAGUUGGACAAGUAUUUAGCAUUGACACAUGUUUCAAACUGCUGCAUCCACAGCCCUAGGUAGUUUUGGGGAUUGGCAGGAAAUCCAUCUAGACUUUGCCUUCUGAGCUGGGUAAAACUACUAGGAAGUCCUAUGCCUUGAUAUUGUGGCACUUCUAGGCUGUCUUUCCAAUUUUAAGCAAUCCAUCAGUUGUUUUCUAAGACUGCACUGUAGACUGAUGCCUUCUCUUAGUUUUGAUGUUCAGAAGAUUUUUUAAACAUGUUCAUAGAUUUCUUAAACAUUCUGAGUAAUUGUAAUUUUAAACUAGACUAAUUUUAGGGUUGAAAACUGUCCCAGAGAGAGUCCUUACAUAAUAACUUCAAUCUGAUGUGAACUCGAAUGACUUUUUAAAAAUAAGAUGUUGAAAAUGUGGGUUUCUGGUGGAAAAGGCUGCCAUUCACUUAGAGUGGGAUCCUUAGGACCAGUUAAUAUCCACCAGACAUGCUUCAAUAAACUGGAACAAGCCUGAUGUGGAAUUACUGACUCCCCAUUUUCCUGAAUGUAGGUCAUUUUGUGUCCUUACAAUUUAACGUUUGAAGGGAUUUCCUGUCUUUGAAGUGCAACAGUUUGUCACCUGCUUGGCUAGCUGCCUUAACAGUUGGGGCUCCUUUCCUACAUUGAAAGACUUAGUGACUCCAUGUUCCCGGGCUAGAGUUUCCCAGCUCACUGAAUGCAUGAUACCUGCACCUCUGGGACUCUCCUCUACAAGUUAGUGCCUGCAGAUCCCCUGUUCCAAGCUUCAUUUCUCUAGGUCAAAGAGCCUAAAAGAAAAGCCCGGGCCGGGCGCGGUGGCUCACGCCUGUAAUCCCAGCACUUUGGGAGGCCGAGGCGGGCGGAUCACGAGGUCAGGAGAUCGAGACCAUCCCGGCUAAAACGGUGAAACCCCGUCUCUACUAAAAAUACAAAAAAUUAGCCGGGCGUAGUGGCGGGCGCCUGUAGUCCCAGCUCCUUGGGAGGCUGAGGCAGGAGAAUGGCGUGAACCCGGGAGGCGGAGCUUGCAGUGAGCCGAGAUCCCGCCACUGCACUCCAGCCUGGGCGACAGAGCGAGACUCCGUCUCAAAAAAAAAAAAAAAAAAAGAAAAGAAAAGCCCGGAGCCAUACACUCACCUGGUUGAAGCCAUAAAGAGUUCAAUAUUUCAAGUGAAAAUCUGCCUGUUCGAAAAGAAAAUAUUCACAAAUGAGCAGUGUAUUAGAAGACAACUGAAUUGCUUCUAAGAAUGGGUCUCACUCUGCCAUCACCCAGGCUGGAGUGUGGUGGCACCAUCAUGGCUCACUGCAGCCUUGAACUCCUGAGCUCAAGUCAUCCUCCCACCUCAGCCUUCCGAGUAGCUGGAACUGCAGGUGUGAGCCACCAUGCCUGGCUGAUUUGUCUUUUUAAAUUUUUUAUAGAGACCGAGUCUCAACUAUAUUGUCCAGGCUGGAAAAGAACUUCUUUCCCUCCAAGUGAUAACCUUUUCCAGACAAGUCAGCUUAAAAACUGACCCAAAGGCCCUGAAGUACACAGUUUUCUUGGAGAAAGAAAAAAAUAAGUGAAAAGGACUUGCUGACUUGCUAAUUCAUUUUGGGGCCUGUGGGUAACAUCAGAAUGGCAAAGCACUUGGGGCUUUUUUCUAAUUUGUAUUUUUUUAAUCUUCUGAGAAAUGACUUUUAUAUGCCAAGAUUCAUUCCAUGAUUAGUUUUUAUGACCAAGUUAUGAACGCUUUUGAAUAUGGGGACCUAGAAUAGAAAUGCUAACCUACCUGCAAGGAGAGCUCUGUGAUUGGCAUCCCCAUCAUGCUGUAACUGACACAAAAUAAACUUAGGGUAAUUGCCGCAUAGUGUAACUUUAAUGUGUGAGCAUACUGUAACAUCUGACAAGCUUCUUGAUCUAGAUCAGCAAUGUGUAACCCAUUCAUUGUUGUCACUCUCAACAAGGCCUUAUGGUCAAACAUCAUCACUCUCACUAAAGAGAUAGUUUACUGAAAUAUACUGAGAUUUUGAAACUGGAGUCAAGAGGUAGCACACUGUUUUAUGUUGAUCCAUUUAAUGGUCCUUGACAGCCAAUAAAAAGACACUGGAAGAAUACGUGAAUGCAGUAAUUGUUAAUAGGUCUAUUGAUAAUAUUUUCAACACCAGCCAACAUGUCCAUUUCCACCCUCCACCCUCAUUCUCACAUUAAGCUAUGGAGAGGGGGAAUAUUUGUACUUUUUUCAUGGUCUUCCAAAGGAUGGACAUACUACUGCCACGAGAGAAAUUGCUGGUCAGAGAGAAGCAAUUCCUUAGAGAAAGCAACCCACAUAUCAUCACCCAAGAGAGCUGAACCAUUGCCAACAUCUCCAUCAGGAACUUGGAAGAGUUUUCUGUCUUCCCAACACAAUAAAACUGGAGACACGAGCAUGCAGAGCUCCAGCCAGCACAAUUACAUAAAGCCAAAGCACAUUAUCACUUGCAGGCUGCAGGAUUUAUGGCCAACUAUGAUGGAAAAUACAGAGAUACUUUACUUGUCUGAAUUCAACACUCAAAAAAGAUAGUAUGUAUUAUAUUAAUGAUAGAGAAAAGUUGUAUAUAUUGUACUUUUUCUAAUGAAAACCUUAGUAAACAGAGCAGAAACAGAUGCCAGCAUCUUAGAGAAGAAAGAAAAAUGGAAAAGAUUGCCAGUUUGCUCCUCUUCAGACAAUAUGCAAUUGCUGUUCUUGUUGAAAAAUUCCUUUCAAAUGCAUUGAGGCAGCAUUUCUAUUUUGGUGGUUUUCUGCAUUUGAGUUGCUGCUUCUAACUUGAGUGGAACAGAGAAGUUUGUAUUCUCUAUGGGUGUCUGCUGUUCCAAGUAUGAAGCAGUGAAGCUAAAAUCACUUUACUUCUAGAAACCUGUGAUUUCCAUUUGCCAUGAGGUUAGCACUUCCUCUGGCAGUGCCUUUGCCACGAACUGUCAUAGAACCAUGCUGUUUAUCUAGCAUAGCAUUCUUCUUUAUCAUAGCUGCUUACCACUUGUUUCUGCUCUGGAAUGCACCCUGUACGUGCAGGUUAUGUGGUGUCCUGGCCCAGUGCUGGCACACGGUGAGCACUCACAAAAAUAUUGAAGAGCUCUCUUCAGGUUGUAAUUUUAUGUUACCAAUGUUUUUACACAGUUGGUUUGCAUUAUGAGUACACAGUGAGAAGGUAAACCAGUGUGCUGUUUGUCUAUCGUUUCCAAAUUUUGAAUUAUUUAAAUACAUGUUAGUGAAAUCACUGUUUAUCAGAACCAAAAUUGCAAUCUUAAAACUUCUGCAAGAUAGAAAAGAUUGUUUAACAAAGGAAGGAAAAUAUUACAAAAACAGAUUUCUCUCUUAAUUUUGUCAGUGCUUGGACUUGGUCCCCAAAUCUUAAAAGUGAAUUUGUUUCCAGAACACCUGAAACAGAGACCACAUUUUUAUGUUUGCCUUUUUGCAGUGAAGUUUACAUUAGGGAGCUAUAUUUUCCUUAUAUUUAUUUUUAAAUCAUUUGGGCUUUCCAAUAAAAUAGCAUUCUCAUUUUCUUCCCUCUUCCCAGAUUAAUGCAUUUAUUAUUUUAAUGCAUGAAGGGGUCCACGUGGCGCUAUGGUUGGUGGCUGGGAUGCUCUGGAGUGGUGCGCUUGGAAAACAAUGUGUUAUUUGCACUUGAGAAAAUACUUUGUUGGCUAAGUGUCUAGGCACUGAAACAGUAACAGUUCAUCAAAAGACAGUUAUCCCAGAUACGCUUCCAAGAGUGGCAAUCAGUUUUCCUAAAGAGUCAAAGAAAAGAGUGAGAAUUGUGGGAAGUGGGAGACUAGAAGGACAGACUCAUUUGGAAACAGGAAGUGGUUCAAGGAACUUAGGAUUUGGAAUAUAGGAAAAGAAAUGGGGAAACAUACCCAUGCCUUCUCUUCUCUGUAGACAUCCAAUUUGAACCUACUCCAGAUUAGUAGGAAGUAAAAUCAUUAUCUGAUGUUCUGUGGCCACAUGGAAAAUACAUUGGUAGUUGCAACCAGACUAGAGUCAACAUUGAGAAACCAAUAGAACCACUAACUUGGGCUGGUGAGGCACAGCUACUGGUCAAAACCUGCCCAGGAGGCCCAGUACCACUCACAGUCAGGAUCGGGGUCAUGGUAGGGGAAGGUCAGCUAGCUUACUGCAGCCCAUCUCUGAUGGGGAGGUGAGGACUUCCAGCCCUGGGCUGCUCAUUCACCUCCCCUCUGGAGCAGUAAACAGGGAAGUAGCAAGAAGCUAAGCUCCUUUUGUUAGGCAUUGUUAAUUCCUCCAAGGUGACCAUUGAUGUAUUUUUUAUUCAGUAACUUAGCAUAUAUGUGUGUGCACAAUUAAUAGUUAUAUAUAAUAAAAGUGAAUAUAUUAAAAUUUAAAAAAAUAAAUUAUGAUCAUUGCACAAUUCUGUGACUAUACUACAAACCAUUAAAAUGUAUACUUUAAAUGGGUGUUUUUUAUGUUAUUUAUGUGAUUAUGUCUCAAUAAAGAUGUUUUAAAACCAUAAAUGUUUUUAUCCAUUAUUUUCCCUAAAAAAUCAUGCAUUGGGUUUUGUUAUUAUCAUUGACUUCCUUCCUUCUGUGUUUUUAUAUUGCCUUCUUCAAGUCUUGGUGAUCCCAGGAUAUACUCCAGAACUGAUAAAUGUUGGCUAAUGAAUUGUAGCUUUAUUCCAGUUUUAGCACUGCCAGGCCAGGCUAUAUUGUCUGUGUUAUGGGGUCAGUAUGAAAAAUUUUACUAAAAAAUGAAACUGACCCAGAGAGAGGCUCUUCAUGAGCUCCUGCACUUCCUCCUACUCACCUCACCUCCCAGGGUGCUCCUUGCCUUCUCUGGGUAUUGAUGCUUAUUGUGAUCUUGUGUACCAUAAUUUGAAAGGUAUUCUCUGAUACCUUCCACUACUACACUCUGUGGUUACAGAAGAGAUUGGU